GGAGAAAUGUUGGUGAUCAUCAUGGAUAACUUAGGAGGGGGAGGAGGAAAUUUAUAGAGGAUUUUCUAGGAUUUUUGAUGGUCCUGGGAUAUCUAUUUUGAGUCAGAUUCAAUAGGGAAGAAGACUCCGUUCUUCUAUUUUCUUUUUUUUAUUAUUCUUUUAGGUUGCAUUAGGUUCAUGCUGAUGGUCUUUAGGAUUAGAUUAUCACAUAUUCUAUUUGUGAUCUUAUUUAAUUUUAUAUAGUAUUUUUGAUUUUUUUAAAAAAAUAUAACCAUGUUAACACACUAUUAAUUUGAUUUACCUUCUACUUAGUAAUAUCU
rnacentral:lncRNA from 1 species